GGAGUCAUGUGGGGCCAAGCACUCAGCUCUGGGGCACUGGAGCCCAUCUCUGAGGGUAUGAAAUCCACCAGAUCCAUCUGAAGGAAGGAGAGAUGAAAAGAGGAAGGAGCGAUGAUGCUGCUGUGCAGGGACCACACUUUGAGAACCACUGAUGUGGUAGGACAAAAGGUGUAGUACAUGCUUAAUUGUUCAGCAGGAGAACAGACAGAAAGGAACAGAAGAAAUAUUUGAAGUAAUAAUGGCCAACAUUUUUCUAAAACUAGUGACAGAUAUCAAACCACAGAUCCAAGAAGCUCAGAGAACACCAAGCGAGAUAAAUACCAAAAAAUUCACACCUAAGCAUAUCAUAUUCAAACUGCGGAAAACCAAAAACGAAGAAAAAAAUCUUGAAAGAUGUCAGAGAGAGGAAAAUACCUUACUUACAGAGAAACAAGGAUAAGAAUUACAGUGGACUUGUCAGAAACUAUGCAAGCAAAGAGAGAGGGGUGAAAUAUCUAAGAAAACUCACCAACCUGAAGUAUAUAUCCAGUGAAAUUGCUCUUCAGAAGUGAAGGACAGAUCAAGACCUCCUCAGACCAAAAAAAAAGCAAAAAACAAAAAAACGAGAGAAUUCAUUGCCAGUGAACAGUGAACUUGCUCCUCUAGAAAUGUUAGAGGAAGUUCUUCAGAAACUCAGGUCUAUGUGAGAAAGAAUAAGCACCAGAAUAGGGAUAAGUGAAGGCCUUUGUAGGACAUAUAAAUGCCAAUGCUGAUGUAGAAAGGUGGAGGAAGAGAGCCAGAGUGCAGUUCAUCUCUGGGAGAGCAGACCAGAGUGGCUUCCAUGGGCACAUGCUGGAUUGAAGUGAGAAGACGUGACUACUAAAGUUGAGGCCCCAAGUCUCAGCUCCUUCCCCCUCCGAAGCAUGAGUGGAGGAUUCACUUAAGGCCACUUUGGUGAGACUAGAUCAACUCUUCUCAAAACUACUUCAUUCCUUUGGAAUAAAAUCUUGAUUUUA